rnacentral:rRNA from 1 species
AGUGAACGCUGGCGGUAGGCCUAACACAUGCAAGUCGAACGGCAGCACAGUAAGAGCUUGCUCUUACGGGUGGCGAGUGGCGGACGGGUGAGGAAUACAUCGGAAUCUACUUUUUCGUGGGGGAUAACGUAGGGAAACUUACGCUAAUACCGCAUACGACCUACGGGUGAAAGCAGGGGAUCUUCGGACCUUGCGCGAUUGAAUGAGCCGAUGUCGGAUUAGCUAGUUGGCGGGGUAAAGGCCCACCAAGGCGACGAUCCGGAGCUGGUCUGAGAGGAUGAUCAGCAACACGGGAAGGGAGACACGGCCAAGACUCCGACGGGAGGCAGAAGGGGGAAAUAUGGGACAAUGGGGGAAAGCCUGAUCCAGCCAUCCCGCGUGGGUGAAGAAGGCCUUCGGUUUGUAAAGCCUUUUUGUUGGGAAAAAAAAGAAGCGGGUGAACACCCGGUUGUUCGGACGGUACCCAAAAAAAAAGCCCCGGCUAACUUCGUG